rnacentral:rRNA from 1 species
UACGGGGGGAGCAAGCGUUGUUCGGAUUUACUGGGCGUAAAGGGCGCGUAGGCGGUCGUGACAAGUCACUUGUGAAAUCUCCGGGCUUAACUCGGAACGGUCAAGUGAUACUGUCGGACUAGAGUACAGAAGGGGCAACUGGAAUUCUCGGUGUAGCGGUGAAAUGCGUAGAUAUCGAGAGGAACACCUGCGGCGAAGGCAGGUCUCUGGGCAUUAACUGACGCUGAGGAGCGAAAGCAUGGGGAGCGAACAGG